rnacentral:snoRNA from 1 species
AACCAGUGAUGUAAAAGAUUCUGCCAAAUGAUAGAAUAUGAUUUCAUUCAUAAACCGUUCCAUUUUUUUACACUGAGGUU